rnacentral:rRNA from 1 species
UACAGAGGUCUCAAGCGUUGUUCGGAUUCAUUGGGCGUAAAGGGUGCGUAGGUGGCGCUGUAAGUCGGGUGUGAAAUUUCGGAGCUUAACUCCGAAACUGCAUUCGAUACUGCGGUGCUUGAGGACUGGAGAGGAGACUGGAAUUCAUGGUGUAGCAGUGAAAUGCGUAGAGAUCAUGGGGAAGACCAGUGGCGAAGGCGGGUCUCUGGACAGUUCCUGACACUGAGGCACGAAGGCCAGGGGAGCAAACGGG